AUUCCAGCCUGGGCAACAGAGCGAGACUCUAUCUCAAAACAAAACAAAACAAAACAAGAAAAAGAAAAAAAGAAGAAAAUUUAAAAAAAGAAAAAGAAAAAGAAAACGUCCCAGGUCUGUUGAAGCACUAAGAAAAGCAGAAAAAGAAAGGGGAGCCAGGGAAGGGCUGGCAGGCUGUGCAAUUUAAGGGAGCACCAGAAAAACUGGCAAUCAAAUAAUAUAUUAAUGUAAUAUUUUAAAAAGUAAAAAUUAAUGCAGGAAAUCCGGGAGGAACAAAAUAAGAGUCAUGUGUACCUUAACAACAGGGUAAGGUCUGAGGAUUGCGUCAUUAGGCGAUUUUGUUGCUGUACGAACACCACAGAAUGUACUUUGACGACCUAGAUGGUGGAGCCUGGACACACCUCGGCUGUGUGGUGUGGCCUGCUGCUUCCAGGCUGCAAACCUGACAGCAUGGGGCUGUGCUGAAUACCGCAGACCAUUGUAAUUCAUGGGGAAAGCGUGAACGCAGUCCCCCACUACAACUAAUUAUGCAGUCGAGUUUUCCACAUUUGGGAAUAUCUCAGGGGUCAGCACAUCCGGAGUGCAAUCGAUGAGCCUCACGCUGGGAAAAACCACCUUCGUGAUCAUGGUAUCUUCCCUGCCAGGUAAGUAUUUGAAUUCCCAUUUAUUGAAGGAAUGGAUUAACAAGUAAAUAUAUGCAUGAAUACAAGCCCACAUGAGUAGGGGAACAGAUCGUUUUCUUUGCUCAGAAAAAUAAUCCUUCCUCCAAAUGUGUACCAGGACAGUAUGUCUACCUGCCUGCCCCUGAAAUUUAUGGGUUUCUAAAAUAGGUCUUACCCAUCUUACCUGUGGUUAUCUUAUAUUAGGUGAUCACCAACCAGUUACUAAGAUACCUGCUGUCACUUAGAAUCCUAAGUUUUCUUUACUGGUAUUUCCUUAUAUUCCUCACUCUUGCUUCCUUUGUUUGCAUUAACUGGAAUUUUCUCUCUCAAGCAACCUAAUCACAGAGCCUCCCAGCCCGAUGCUACAAAGAGCCGCAUGCUGCCAGUUUCCUUGUGGGCAGGGACCUAUGUAUUAUAAUGGUGAAUAUAUUUAUACUUGAAUCCACAGAGAAGACACAGUAGACUAGUCAUACCAUUGUGAGUAGUGCUCAGAUUCUUUCUUGACCCCCCAUCAUCCAAAAAUAUACCUUUCCAGUGUGGCAGUCUUGAACUUUUCCAAAUUCAGCUGCUGUUGGAGCUCUUCUGUUUUUCCCAGGGAAGGCCGGAGAACUGUAUUUCUGGCCAGAGCUGCUGCAGAAGGUCUCUGUUCGGCAUCAGGUUGGAUCAUGUUCUGAUGAUAUAGGACCAAGAGGAAAGAAACAGAAGCUUCGCUAUUGGGAAAAAUCUUCCCAUUCAAGCCAACUCCAACCCAGCUUCUCCUGGUGGAUUUUAGAGAAACCAAUCAGCUUCAUUUUCAACUUCUUCUAUGACUCCAGAGGAUUCACUUUGCAUCUUGUGACAAAUGAAUAUAUUACCUGAAAAAAAAAUGACAGGAUAGAUAUUGAAGAAAUAAUUUUUUAUAGGACUCUGGAGUGAAGGGAUUAAUAUUGACCAGAGCCAAUGAGGUCAUCUCAUCCUUGAGGGGAGCAGGUGUGAGCUUCAAAUGCUUAGGGCCUCUGGAAGGAAGCUUCCCUGUUGGAGAAAUCACCAACCGGCUCAGCAUGGUCUGAAUGAGGAUGACAAAAGGAGUUGCUGCACAGGGGGAAAGCGAAGUUCCCAGGAGUAAGAUGUGCAAGAAGGGGGCAGCCUUGCAUCUCAGGGCUGAGUUCCCUCAACUGUGUGCUUGAGGGAAGUUCUCCCCUUGCAGACACACUGCUGAGUGAUAAGGAAGCGCCUAGACUCCACUCUGACCAGACUUGGUUCUGAGGCCUAUGAAAUGUUGAUGGGAAGAACAGAAGCAGGAAAAUCUAUCUAUUCAAAUUUGCAAGACGUGGAAACUUUUAUUCACCUUCCUGGUUAGACUGUUCCUUUGUCAAAGUAAAGCUAAGGCCAUGGAAAAUGAGCUAUUUGAGAGUCUGUCGCUCCAAGGAAGAACAUGCUGGCCUAAUUGUCCCCCAAGUCAGGAGAGAGAAUUGUAAAAAACACUUAAACAGGCCUAAGUAAAGGUCCAGCACAUUAUUUAUUUAAGACUGAAUUAGGACUGAGUCAUUCUGACUCUGAAAAAAGAGUGUUGUUGGAUUCUUAUGUAUUUAGUGGGUCUGCCCUAUUGAAAACCAUUGUGAAGUAUGGUUUCCCAAGCAAGAAAUGACACUUUCACUGUCAGUCUUUCUAGGAGUCUGGCAGAAUCCAGGACCGGGAUUACCCUUAUUUAUGAAGCGACCUUAGACUAACAGUGGCUCUCUGGGUCUCCAGACAAUUGGCCAGGGACUCUAAAAACCAGAAACAAAGUUGAGAGAACUCCAUGCUGGUGGAGAAAAACAGCUGGCCUUUAUCACCAGAAUGUGCCCCAUAGAAGCAGCAAAGCAGCAAGCGACGUUCUUAAACAAGGGCCUGUGGGCCUCGUCAAGAUCUGGAGGAAUCAUCUACGACUCACUGCUGAGUGAGAGGGCUAGGCAGUGUCUUUAAGGUCCUGCCAGCUUUAACAUUGUAUGCUUUUUCUUUUGUUCAAUCUCUCACCACAACUGGAAGUGUUGCCUCAACUACACAGGAGAAAGUUUGCAGUAACUUAGAGAAAACAUUAUUUUAAUCACCAGUGUAUGUUCUCCUGCUCCCUGGACAAAUCCAUCAGCAGCGGCAACACUGACCAGGUCCAGAUUGGGGCCGCUGCGGUGGAUGUGAAUCCAUUGAAACUAGGGGUCUCCAGUGCUCCUGACUCCUCACAGCUCUGUUCCUAUGACAAGGAUGGUCAGCAAAGCCAGCAACCUUGAAGGGGGACCUUCUCCUAAUCUCCUCCCUGCCUGCUGAGAGAGUGUACAGAAGCAGCCACUUGUCAGCUGCGAUGAAUCCAAUGAUAAUUACAUAAAUCAUUAACAAUACUUGAUAUUUGCCCAUCACAUUUCUCAUUUCAAAGUGCUCGUAAAAUUGUAUCUCAUGGGUGGCACUGCCGGCACAACAGAAUUCCAAGGAAGGAUUACGGGCUAAGUAAAUAAAGCCUGGAGGCUGCUUUGAAGCCUAGGAGUCUGUUAUUAACCCUUUCCUCCUUUUUGUUUAACUUUUUCUCAUGGAAAUGUUCAAACAUACCAAAAAUAGAGAAAAUACUAUAAUGAGUCCUUAUGUAUCCAUAACCUAGCUUCAAAAAUUAUAUAUGGCUUUACAGUCUUGUUUAGUUCAUAACUGCAACUUCAUUGAGGGUGAGUGCUGGGGUAUUCUGAAGCAAAUCAGUGACAACAUAUUUUACCCAUGGAUACUUUAGUGCCAUUAAUAAAAACCCCUAGGUUAUUCUAUUAAUUUGAAAUCUACUAUAAAUCUAUCUGAUGAAUAAAUCAAACAGAUUUUAACAAAUUGCUUCUCUUGCCAAAGUUUCCCAUUUGCUAGAACUAGAGAUUAUUCAUCAAAAUAGCUGUGACAGUAGAAACAUACCACUUGUCUACACACACAACACAUAGCAUACUUAGUAUAGGAAUAGAUCUCUGAUUUGAUGUCCCAGUAAUUUAGAGAUUGAUGAUAUCCUACCAAUACUUUAAGGAGCAGACAUUUCAAAACGAUUGUACAGACCCACUAGUCUGACCUUUUCUCUGUUAGUCACAGUUGGGCUGUGGUCAUUCCUGGAGUCCCUAAGAUUAGAACAGGUAAUGGGUCACCUGUGUGACCUGCACCAAGGCCAGCCCCACCGCCCCCGGCCACAGAAAUAAGAUCUCUCUCUCUCUCUGUCUGUCUCUGUGUGUGUAUGUAUGUGUGUAUGUCUGUUUCUGCCUCUCCCACAUCACACACAUACAUACACACACACACACACACACACACAGUGCCUCACCGGGAAGAAAUGAGCAGGUAUGGAGGAGACAUUCUCAGAGAUGGAUCUCUACUGUGCUCCGUCUUGACUUAUUUGCUGUCAGUGCUCCAAGGGAUGAGCUCUGGAGGUCAUCAGUAACUUGGUCAAACAUCCCCAGCUACUUCUUCAUCCUUCUGAUCCAAUCAAGAGAUUCCUACGCUGAAGUUUCACCUUCAUAAAACAUUUUGUGAUUUUUUUGAAAUGUGGUAAAGAAGAAUUUAAGCUCUUCCGCAGUAGGUAACUACUAGAAACUGAAGAUAAACUGUCAAAAGUGGCUGUUUCUAAGGAUGGAGAAAGGGAUGGCGGGGUUAGAGGAGGUGGUUGCUGCACAGUGUGUCUUGCGUGCAAUUUGAUCAUUUAACUUUUUGCCAUAAACACAUACUUAUUAAAAUGUUUAAAUUUUUUAAAUGUAAUCAAGCAAACACAGAAAUGCACAUUUUUUUAAAACUGGCGAAUAAAGUGCUUGAAUCGUU